rnacentral:rRNA from 1 species
GAUGAACGCUGGCGGCGUGCCUAAUACAUGCAAGUCGAGCGAACAGACGAGGAGCUUGCUCCUCUGACGUUAGCGGCGGACGGGUGAGUAACACGUGGAUAACCUACUUAUAAGCCUGGGAUACCUUCGGGAAACCGGAGCUAAUACCGGAUAAUAUAUUGAACCGCAUGGUUCAUUAGUGAAAGACGGUUUUGCGGUAACUUCUAGAUGGAUCCGCGCCGCAUUAGCUAGUUGGUAAGGUAACGGCUUACCAAGGCAACGAUGCGUAGCCGACCUGUGAGGGUGAUCGGCCACACUGGAACUGAGACACGGUCCAGACUCCUACGGGAGGCAGCAGUAGGGAAUCUUCCGCAAUGGGCGAAAGCCUGACGGAGCAACGCCGCGUGAGUGAUGAAGGUCUCCGGAUCGUAAAACUCUGUUAUUAGGGAAGAACAAAUGUGUAAGUAACUAUGCACGUCUUGACGGUACCUAAUCAGAAAGCCACGGCUAACUACGUG